GUCUAUGGCCAUACCAUCCUGAACACGCCCUAUCUCAUCUGACUCUUGGAAGCUAAGCAGGGUCGGGCCUGGUUAGUAUUUGGAUGUGAGGCUACCUGGGAAUAAUGGCUGCUACAUAAACU
rnacentral:rRNA from 1 species